rnacentral:sRNA from 1 species
ACAAGAACAAUAAGAAUCACAGCAGCACACAAUAAAAAUAAGACGUAUCGGCUCACGCAUAACAAAAACAACACGGCGGAGGCGCAGCUAACUGAUUCUUUUGGAGAGGUGUUGUGAUUGGGGCUUGCCCCAUGGCUAGGCAGAGAACAACAAAAACUGCACUUAAAAAGCAGAGCCUGAACUAGUCGGAUCACGGAUCACAUCAACACAGCGACCAAAGCAAUCCGUUUGCUCUUAUCUCCCGAUUGGGAGGGUUACACAGGCAAGACCUUUGUAACCGGGGCGAUCAACAAAAACAAAAAGCCCGCAAUCAAUAAUAAAAAUAGAGCACGCAACUACUUCUGGGGGAGCUUCGGCUCCCCUUGUAGUUUCUGCAAUUCAGAAAAAACUUCCUCA